UCACACGCAUGCGUAGUGCCCUUUGGCUGACCGCAGGAAGAGCUGUGUCCUAGAUCGCCGCAGCGGGUGUGGGUGUGGGGUACCUGUGUGCUGGCUUGCCUGGCUACACAGCCAACCUGCAUUCCGUGGAAACUGGCAGAUAGGCCAGUAUCUGCCUCAGGCUUGCAAGGACAGGCCAUUUCAGAGUCACAGAGAACAGAUCGUGGCCUCAGCCAUGAGCCCAGCAGCUUCAAACAGUCUCUUCUUGGCCUGCAGCCUAGCAUUGGCACCAUUGUUUGCAGGUCUUAAAGACACUGCUGUUGAAAUGAAGAAAUGCAUACAAGCAGCAAAGAGAUGAUAACUUAUAUGGGUUUUCCAAUUGCUAAUGAGAGUAAAACCUGCAGAUCAGCCAUCAGAAAUGGGGCCAGAGUCAGACCCCCAGCUCCCAUCUUUUUUGUUCUCUUUCUCAAGAAGCUGCUUCACUGAGCUCCUGCAAGAGCCCAACUAUCUCCAUUUAUGAAAUAAAUGUGGAGUGUCUUUUUGGUUUUGGA